AGUCAGCUGACGAGUCCGAAAUGGGGCGAAAUGUGCAUCUUGGGU
rnacentral:hammerhead_ribozyme from 1 species